GAUGAACGCUGGCGGCGUGCCUAAUACAUGCAAGUCGAGCGAACAGACGAGGAGCUUGCUCCUUUGACGUUAGCGGCGGACGGGUGAGUAACACGUAGGUAACCUACCUAUAAGACUGGGAUAACUUCGGGAAACCGGAGCUAAUACCGGAUAAUAUUUCGAACCGCAUGGUUCGAUAGUGAAAGAUGGCUUUGCUAUCACUUAUAGAUGGACCUGCGCCGUAUUAGCUAGUUGGUAAGGUAACGGCUUACCAAGGCAACGAUACGUAGCCGACCUGAGAGGGUGAUCGGCCACACGGGAACUGAGCCACGGUCCAGACGCCUACGGGAGGCAGCAGUAGGGAAUCUUCCGCAAUGGGCGAAAGCCUGACGGAGCAACGCCGCGUGAGUGAUGAAGGUCUUCGGAUCGUAAAACUCUGUUAUUAGGGAAGAACAAACGUGUAAGUAACUGUGCACGUCUUGACGGUACCUAAUCAGAAAGCCACGGCUAACUACGUG
rnacentral:rRNA from 1 species